GAUGAACGCUGGCGGCGUGCCUAAUACAUGCAAGUCGAGCGAACAGACGAGGAGCUUGCUCCUCUGACGUUAGCGGCGGACGGGUGAGUAACACGUGGAUAACCUACCUAUAAGACUGGGAUAACUUCGGGAAACCGUAGCUAAUACCGGAUAAUAUUUUGAACCGCAUGGUUCAAUAGUGAAAGACGGUUUUGCUGUCACUUAUAGAUGGAUCCGCGCCGCAUUAGCUAGUUGGUAAGGUAACGGCUUACCAAGGCAACGAUGCGUAGCCGACCUGAGAGGGUGAUCGGCCACACUGGAACUGAGACACGGUCCAGACUCCUACGGGAGGCAGCAGUAGGGAAUCUUCCGCAAUGGGCGAAAGCUUGACGGAGCAACGCCGCGUGAGUGAUGAAGGUCUUCGGAUCGUAAAACUCUGUUAUUAGGGAAGAACAAAUGUGUAAGUAACUAUGCACGUCUUGACGGUACCUAAUCAGAAAGCCACGGCUAACUACGUG
rnacentral:rRNA from 1 species